AAAAGAAAAAGAAUAAGAAUAAUUUGAUUUUUAGUUAUCACGGGACGGAUUUAUAUGGCGGGAUGGAUUUGCAAAACUACCCUUUUUCACUACCUUUUUGCAACAAUACCCUUUUAUGUUGUCCAUUUUUAAAAAUACAUCUUCCCUUGAACAAAAUGACCAAAUUACCGUCAUCUAAUAGAAACAUGUAAUUGGAAAUUGAAAAUUUCCCGCCAAAAAAAAUUUCCGCCAAACUUUUUUCCCGCCAAAAGUUUUUUUAGUAACAAAUUUUUUCUCAGCCAAAAAAAUGCUUUUAAAAAUC
rnacentral:sRNA from 1 species